AGCGAACAGAUAAGGAGCUUGCUCCUUUGACGUUAGCGGCGGACGGGUGAGUAACACGUGGGUAACCUACCUAUAAGACUGGGACAACUUCGGGAAACCGGAGCUAAUACCGGAUAAUAUGUUGAACCGCAUGGUUCAAUAGUGAAAGAUGGUUUUGCUAUCACUUAUAGAUGGACCCGCGCCGUAUUAGCUAGUUGGUGAGGUAACGGCUCACCAAGGCAACGAUACGUAGCCGACCUGAGAGGGUGAUCGGCCACACUGGAACUGAGACACGGUCCAGACUCCUACGGGAGGCAGCAGUAGGGAAUCUUCCGCAAUGGGCGAAAGCCUGACGGAGCAACGCCGCGUGAGUGAUGAAGGUCUUAGGAUCGUAAAACUCUGUUAUUAGGGAAGAACAAACGUGUAAGUAACUGUGCACGUCUUGACGGUACCUAAUCAGAAAGCCACGGCUAACUACGUGCCAGCAGCCGCGGUAAUACGUAGGUGGCAAGCGUUAUCCGGAAUUAUUGGGCGUAAAGCGCGCGUAGGCGGUUUUUUAAGUCUGAUGUGAAAGCCCACGGCUCAACCGUGGAGGGUCAUUGGAAACUGGAAAACUUGAGUGCAGAAGAGGAAAGUGGAAUUCCAUGUGUAGCGGUGAAAUGCGCAGAGAUAUGGAGGAACACCAGUGGCGAAGGCGACUUUCUGGUCUGUAACUGACGCUGAUGUGCGAAAGCGUGGGGAUCAAACAGGAUUAGAUACCCUGGUAGUCCACGCCGUAAACGAUGAGUGCUAAGUGUUAGGGGGUUUCCGCCCCUUAGUGCUGCAGCUAACGCAUUAAGCACUCCGCCUGGGGAGUACGACCGCAAGUUG
rnacentral:rRNA from 1 species